UAAGUGAUUGAUGGACUAAAUCGGACAAAAUAAAAGUUAGAAAGUGAAGUAAAAGGAGGUGGCAACUUCAAGGACUAAAAGAGACUCUUUCCCCACUUAUUAUCAUCAAUUAAGAAUGAAUAUUCAUUCAUUCAAAACAGAAAUUGCAGCCAAGAUCCGUAACUCUCCUUCUCCAUUUCUCUCCAAAUUUCACAUGUCCAUAACUUUCUCGUUUCUCAACGAAAUUGAGCGAUUCUUGCGGCCACGGAACGAGAAAACGAUUAUCUACAGAUAUGUGGCAUCAAUUUGAGUGAGUUUAUAAGCUUAAAUUGGAUGCAAAAUGAUGAUGGAGAUAAGGUUUUCAAGGUGAAAUUGAGCUUUAAUGGAGGAUUGUUGAUGAUGAAUUGAAGCUUGGAAACUUCGGCCAUGGAGUAUCUUUAAGAUCGGACGAGCGACUAUCGACGAGGCUUGAGGAAAAACGGAUCGAGAUAUCGUCAUGCUUAUUUGAAGAGUUUGGAUAGCAAGUGGGAUAGUAUGAUAUGAUUUGGAAAGUCAAGUUUCCGAAGUUUUAAUUCUCGGAAGUUAUUUGCACAAGAAGUGAAAGAAGGUUUUCAUUCUAGCGGUCCGCAGUAGUCUAGAUGUUUUUGUCUAUGUAUUUGACUAGCGCAUUUUAACUCUGAUAUUUUUGUAAAAUGGGGUCACAUGUAUUUUGAUAUAUGAAAAAAAUGAUUUGAUUUGCGAAAAA